rnacentral:rRNA from 1 species
GUUUGAUCCUGGCUCAGGAUGAACGCUAGCGGCAGGCCUUACACAUGCAAGUCGAACGGUAACAUGAUCAGCUUGCUGAUUGAUGACGAGUGGCGCACGGGUGCGUAACACGUAUGCAACCUACCUCUAACUGAGGGAUAGCCCAGAGAAAUUUGGAUUAAUACCUCAUAGUAUUGUUGAUUGGCAUCAAUUAACAAUUAAAACUCCGGUGGUUAGAGAUGGGCAUGCGUUCUAUUAGUUUGUUGGUGAGGUAACGGCUCACCAAGACUACGAUAGAUAGGGGGCCUGAGAGGGUUAUCCCCCACACUGGUACUGAGACACGGACCAGACUCCUACGGGAGGCAGCAGUGAGGAAUAUUGGUCAAUGGACGAAAGUCUGAACCAGCCAUGCCGCGUGCAGGAAGACUGCCCUAUGGGUUGUAAACUGCUUUUGUAUGGGAAGAAACGAUUCUACGUGUAGAAUUUUGACGGUACCAUACGAAUAGGGAUCGGCUAACUCCGUGCCAGCAGCCGCGGUAAUACGGAGGAUCCAAGCGUUAUCCGGAUUUAUUGGGUUUAAAGGGUCCGCAGGCGGGCUAAUAAGUCAGUGGUGAAAGCCUACAGCUCAACUGUAGAACUGCCAUUGAAACUGUUAGUCUUGAAUUCGAUCGAAGUGGGCGGAAUAAGUCAUGUAGCGGUGAAAUGCAUAGAUAUGACUUAGAACACCAAUUGCGAAGGCAGCUCACUAGGCCGAUAUUGACGCUAAGGGACGAAAGCGUGGGGAGCGAACAGGAUUAGAUACCCUGGUAGUCCACGCCGUAAACGAUGAUCACUCGUUGUUGGCGAUACACAGUCAGCGACCAAGCGAAAGCAUUAAGUGAUCCACCUGGGGAGUACGUUCGCAAGAAUGAAACUCAAAGGAAUUGACGGGGGCCCGCACAAGCGGUGGAGCAUGUGGUUUAAUUCGAUGAUACGCGAGGAACCUUACCUGGGCUUAAAUGUAGAGUGACAGCUGUAGAAAUACGGUUUUCUUCGGACACUUUACAAGGUGCUGCAUGGUUGUCGUCAGCUCGUGCCGUGAGGGGUCGGGUUAAGUCCCAUAACGAGCGCAACCCCUAUUGUUAGUUGCCAGCGAGUAAUGUCGGGGACUCUAGCAAAACUGCCUACGCAAGUAGUGAGGAAGGUGGGGAUGACGUCAAAUCAUCACGGCCCUUACGUCCAGGGCUACACACGUGCUACAAUGGUAGAGACAGAGGGCAGCCACUUGGUGACAAGGAGCGAAUCCUAAAACUCUAUCUCAGUUCGGAUCGUAGUCUGCAACUCGACUACGUGAAGCUGGAAUCGCUAGUAAUCGCGCAUCAGCCAUGGCGCGGUGAAUACGUUCCCGGGCCUUGUACACACCGCCCGUCAAGCCAUGGAAGCUGGGGGUACCUGAAGUUCGUGACCGCAAGGAGCGACCUAGGGUAAAACUGGUAACUAGGGCUAAGUCGUAANCAAGGUAACCGU